AUUACUAAGCUACCCGUCACUGUCAUAGUUGGUACAACACGUAAGUUUGAUUAAUAAUCGUGCUUUUGAAUCAAACCCCAUUUCCCGAUUGGAAUUGAGGACUCAAACCCCCAAUUCCAAUCUCGAUCGGCUCAACUGUUUGAUUUCUUUGCUUUAUCUCUCCACUUCGAAGGGUGUACUAAGGGAUUCCACUAUGCUAAACUGUUCUGCAGAAGAUUACACAUUUGAACUAUAAACGAAGAAGAGUAGGCUCUCUGGGCUCCAUCAAAGUCCUAGACUAAUCGACCUACUGCGCCUUCGACAAUUGAAUGCUGUAGAAAAUGUUAAAGAGAAGCAACUUAGCAGCAGCAACACAGUUUAGCAACGUAACAAUCUAUUAUCGGAACUGAUGUUGGUGAACUGGAUAAGAGUGGCAAAGACAGCUUCGUACCCAGGCGAAGCCCCAGAUUUGUUGGCCAAAUUCAAGGUCAAGAUGAUGUUGGUGAACCGGAUAGGAGUGGAAAAGAAAGGUUAAUAUCCCACCGUUGAUUACUGCAUGAAGACAACAAAAUUACGAAACGAAUAUACCGGCAGGCGUAGCGCGCAUACGUGCUAUACUAGUAUGUAGAAUCAGAAGGAACAGAGAGAGACGUUUGUAGUUUUGUCGGAUGAGAUAGAGAUUAAACAUCAGAUAAAUACACAAAAACAACCCUAA